GGGGCGAAAUUCUUUCCGAGAGGCAGCCAUGGGGAAUCUCGCCCAAUGGGUGUUUCCCCAAAAAGAGCUAUCCCCGCGAAAAUCAAAAGUCUCUUAAGAUUGUAAUAUUUUUUCCCCGGGGGCGAUAAUGAGGGUACGCGGAGAAGACGCCCCGGCUACUUCGUCCCAGCAGCCGCGGUAAUGAAAAGGGCUCUAGCUUCUCUCGGAUUCACUGGGCGUAAAGGGAGCAUAGGCGCACAUUUAAGUCAGGGGUGAAAUCCCGGCGCUCACCCUCGGAAUUGCUUUUGAUUCUGGGUCUCUUGAGUAUGAGAGAGGUGUGUGGAACUCCGAGUGUAGAGGUGAAAUUCGUAGAUAUUCGGAAGAACACCAGUGGCGAAGGCGACACACUGGCUCAUUUCUGACGCUGAGGCUCGAAAGCGUGGAGAGCAAACAGG
rnacentral:rRNA from 2 species